UAUGGGUUUAAUUAAUAGCUUAUGCUUCUGGUUGAUUCUAAAGAAAAAUACAUAAGCUUAUCCGGAACGCAAAAGAAGUUCAAAGCGCAUAUACUAAAUUUUAGACGAAUCAGAAAAAACAUUCUUGAUUCAUAUAUAUGACUCCUCUUUCCCUUAUAGUCUCUUUAUAUGCGACAAGGGAUCAACAAGAAAUUGUAUUCCUGUCCUUUUGGAAAAGGAGCAUAGGUUUAAAAUAACUUAUUACCUCGUUUAUUUACCAAAAAUAAUAAAUGAAGAAAUAACCAUGACGUAUCAAGUCAGAGGAGAGAAUAGACAGCUGACAACAAAAUUCAUAGAGUAUUUUUGUUUUAUCCAAGAUACUUAAGACAUAUUGUAUCUUGGUUUUAUCGAGGUCAGAGCCCUAUAAGUGGAGUUUUGUCAUCGGGCUAUCCGCUUUGACGAUAGCUGACUUCCUCAUGUGUUUGAGUCACGGUCCAAAACAUUCAAAAUGUAAUACUAUAUUUUAGGUGAAGAACUCUACAAGGGAGGUCAAAAAAAGAUCUCCACAAUUUCAGGAUCAUACAUACUUCACUCCUUAUUUGGAACCUCGUACUUCUGAAAAUAGAGAAAUAGACUUAGUUGGCAUUUCAUCAACAAUAGAAGAAUAAACGUCUUAUAGUGAUAUAUAUUUUUUUUUUGCAUUAAUCUCUUUAUCGUUAGAAAAUAAUAAUUGUAUGUUGUAUUACAGAUAUUUCUCCUGAGGUAAAACAUCCAAAUGAAAUAAAUGCCAGCAUACAAAUCUAAUCCAUGAAGCAGAAAUAAAGGAAUUAAAGAAGAAGUUGAAGGAGAAAGAUACCAAAAUAUGGGACGUAGUAUCAAAGUUUUAAGUAUUUAAAAAUACGCCUCUCUUCGGUAUUUAAUUCAAAACAUAUCAAAAUUUUAAGUUGCAAGUCUUCACAUUCCAAAAACCGCCUUAGGUCUAAUAAAACCAUUGAGAAUUCACCUCAGUUCAGAUUCGUUGAGGAGCUAUAUGUUGUCCAAUUAAUCUAUUGCGCCAAGAACUGUUUGGAUCAAUUUGCAAAAAGAGACUUAAUGCAAAACUUAUGAAAAUCAUUUCAAAAAAAAAAAUUGUAAACUCAAUGAGUUUGGGGUGUGAUUUUAAUUGUAUUUUUUCUUGCAAUACUAUGUUGCUCCAGCUCCUCUUAUUUUUUUAGUAUUCAUUUAUUGUAUUAAGUUCUUU
rnacentral:lncRNA from 1 species